rnacentral:rRNA from 1 species
CAAUAGCGUAUAUUAAAGUUGUUGCAGUUAAAAAGCUCGUAGUUGGACUUCUGCGGGUGGCGGCCGGUCGUGCCCUUUUGUGGCGUGAACUUGGCUCUUUGCCGCCCGCAUCUUUGGGGAGAUUGUGCGUGGCAUUAGGUUGUCGUGCAUGGGAUUCUCAUCAUUUACUGUGAAAAAAUUAGAGUGUUUAAAGCAGGCCUUUGCCUUGAAUACAUUAGCAUGGAAUAAUAAGAUAGGACCGUUGUCUAUUUUGUUGGUUUACAGAUGUCGGUAAUGAUUAAUAGGGAUAGUUGGGGGUAUUCGUAUUCAGUUGUCAGAGGUGAAAUUCUUGGAUUUUCGGAAGACGCACGACUGCGAAAGCAUUUACCAAGGAUGUUUNCAUUA